rnacentral:rRNA from 1 species
GAUGAACGCUAGCGGCAGGCUUAAUACAUGCAAGUCGAGCGGUAAGGCCCUCUCGGGGGUACACGAGCGGCAAACGGGUGAGUAACACGUGGGUGACCUGCCCUCAGCUCUGGGAUAAGCCUGGGAAACCGGGUCUAAUACUGGAUAUGACUCCAUGACGCAUGUUGUGGGGUGGAAAGCCUUGUGCGGCUGAGGAUGGGCCCGCGGCCUAUCAGCUUGUUGGUGGGGNGAUGGCCUACCAAGGCGACGACGGGUAGCCGGCCUGAGAGGGCGACCGGCCACACUGGGACUGAGACACGGCCCAGACUCCUACGGGAGGCAGCAGUGGGGAAUCUUGCGCAAUGGGCGAAAGCCUGACGCAGCGACGCCGCGCGAGGGAUGACGGCCU